rnacentral:rRNA from 1 species
GUGGGGAAUCUUGCACAAUGGGGGAAACCCUGAUGCAGCGACGCCGCGUGAACGAUGAAGCCCUUCGGGGUGUAAAGUUCUUUCGGCAGGGACGAUCAUGACUGUACCUGCAGAAGCAGCUGCGGCUAACUACGUGCCAGCAGCCGCGGUAAUACGUAGGCAGCAAGCGUUGUUCGGAAUUACUGGGCGUAAAGAGUGCGUAGGUGGUUGACUAAGUUUGGUGUGAAAUCUCCCGGCUUAACUGGGAGGGUGCGCCGAAAACUGGUUAGCUAGAGUGUGGGAGAGGGAAGCGGAAUUCCUGGUGUAGCGGUGAAAUGCGUAGAUAUCAGGAGGAACGCCUGCGGUGUAGACGGCUUCCUGGACCAUGACUGACACUGAGGCACGAAAGCGUGGGUAGCAAACAGGAUUAGAAACCCUUGUAGUCC